GCCAGGCGUGGUGACUCACGCCUGUAAUCCCAGUACUGUGGGAGGCUGAGGUGGGUGGAUCACCUGUGGUCAGGAGUUCGAGACCAGCCUGGCCAACAUGGUGAAACCCUGUCUCUA
ensembl:misc_RNA Metazoa_SRP Metazoan signal recognition particle RNA